rnacentral:lncRNA from 12 species
GAAAAGCCCAAGCGAAUUUUUCGAAUGUUUGUCCUGUGUCCAUACAUUUAGGGACAGAUCCCUCCGGAAUAACCUCUGUGCCGGGUCGUUUUUAAGGUCUCAUCUUCAAAGCGGGAAGCCCAAGGGCUGUCCACAGGUACAGGCAUUUUUUUUAACGGAGGCUCAACGUACCAACAGCUCCUGUGGCCUUCACGGUGCCUCUAUGCGCUCCGAGCUCCCGUUCUACCACGGGGGGCAAGGGGGGUGGCAAGGUGUCAGGACCAGGUAUUUUUGCCCAAGACUGGGUUUGGGGUGGGCAGAUGGGCCGGUGGACAGGAGGCAGGGCACUGGGAAGCCUCUACCUGCCUUGAUCUGGGCAUUCCCCAACAUUGAGUGUUUGCUGAGGAUCAAAACCGAAUUGUUUCUGGAAGGUGUUGCAGUGGGGGUGGGGGGGUGGGGUGGGCAGGGAGUGGGAAAUUAAGGGGCAAAAGAAAUGGCUUUGUUUCCCACCCCCCACCCCUGCCCCGGGGUGCAAGCUUUUCUCCCUUAAAACAUUUUACACAGUCACCACGACUCAGUUUCAUGGGAAAAUCCAAUUGCAGGAUUCCCAAUCCAAAUACAUAGACGGGCGUUUGGCACCCCACGUCUGCAUUCCUCCGGUCUCCGCGGGCUGUGACCCUAACCAGCCCUGGCUGUUCGGCCUUCCCCCAAGCACUCAGGUGUGGGCCGCACCCCAGCCGGCUCGCAGCUGGCGGGGAGACCUCUGUGCCCGGGGCAGCCCCAGAGCCCUGGGUGGGGGCUCAGCUCCGGGACCCAGAUGCCCAGCUUUGCACCCAGCAGGUAGCUAAGGCGCCCGGUGCCGCCUCGGUUGGAGGGGAGGAGUCAUGCGCUGUGUUCAGAGUGGAUGUCGCAGUCUCUAAGGAGACAGGUAAAUCUCCUGAUGCUGCAAUCAGAUUGGAGAGGAAGAUCCGCUCCCGAUGCAAGGCGCCUGCCUCCCGGCUUCUCGGAGAUGCCAGGCUGUCAACGGAGGUCCUGGGAGGGACACAGGCCCCUUCUCUCUGCCCAGCCUGUCCAGCAACAGUGAGCUGGACACUCCGGCCAGACUCUCCCACCAGGGAACUGGAGGUGCUCCUUGUGAUGAGUUUGAGGAGGAGAGGUGCACUCUCACAUCCACUUCCAGUUAUUACCCGGAAUGCUUCCUGUGGCCGAAGAUCUCCUGGAGCAGUAACCUGGUUGACAAGCAUAACUUGCACUCGAACCUCCCUCCCCUUCUGCUGUUUGACUUUGUCCCAGAUCUGAGGAUCACGUGGUAAUUCAGCAAAACUCCACCACUAUGCUGGCUCCCGGGGUGUGAAGGGCUUGGGGGUCUGGUUCUAAGCCCCGGCCCAAAGUUGGCGCUCAUUUUCAAAGGCAAUCACAAGAUGAAUAUCAAAGAAUUUACAGAAUCCACAUUGGGAAGCCUGUCAGAAAAUUGUUGGGAAAAUAAAGUGAAUCAAUAGAAUGUCA